rnacentral:rRNA from 1 species
AGGAACGCUGGCGGUAUUGCCUAACACAUGAACAAGUCGAACGAACAGUUUAUCCUUAUAGGUUGGCGGACGGGUGAGUAAUACGUGAGAAUUCACUUUAGGAAGGGAAUAACAAUUGGAAACGGUUGCUAAUGCCCUAUAUGCUUAGCAGUGAAACAGAUUUAUCUGCCUGAAGAUGAGCUCGCGCCUGAUUAGCUAGUUGGUAGAGUAAAAGCCUACCAAGGCAACGAUCAGUAGCUGGUUUGAGAGGACGAUCAGCACACUGGGACUGAGACACGGCCCAGACUUCUACGGAAGGCAGCAGUGGGGAAUUUUCCGCAAUGAGCGAAAGCUUGACGGAGCAAUACCGCGUGAGGGAAGAAUGCCUGUGGGUUGUAAACCUCUUUUUUAGGGAAGAAAAAUAUGACGGUACCUAAAGAAUAAGCAUCGGCUAACUCCGUGACCAGCAGCCGCGGUAAUACAGGGGGAUGCAAGCGUUAUCCGGAAUUACUGGGCGUAAAGCGUCUGCAGGUGGCUUAAAAAGUCUGCUGUUAAAAUAUUAGAGCUCAACUCUGAGUAAGCAGUUGGAAACUGUUAGGCUAGAGUAUGGUAUGGGUAAAGGGAACACUCCCAGUUGUAGCGGUGAACAUGCGUAGAUUAAUUGGGAAAGAACAACCAAUAGACGAAAAGCGCUUUAACUAGAACCAUUAAUGAACACUCAGAAGAACGAAAAGUUAGGGGGAACGCACAAUGGGGA